GGGUGAUUGUCCUGAGUGUUUUGAAGUCCUUAAAUUUCCCUGACUAAAUUGGUGAUGAGGAUGGACGGCUAACUCCGUUUGCUGAUUGCUCCCGAGGAGACCAGAGUUACUUGUGCACAGGACUGCGUUAGACGUGGCUCGGGAGCCCAAAGUCCAACUAAAACGGAGCAGAAAGGGACCCGCCUCGGGCUGGUUGGGAGCGGCAGUGAGUGGAUAUGCCAUUCCGGACAGACGGGUAAGAUUAAGGCACCAGCCCUGGUUGUCUAACAGCAGCUCGCUCAGCCAUCUCCCCCACUGCAACUCUACCAGCAGACCCCUCGGAGGUGGCCCAUGAGCAGUGGAAAUCCGUUCCAUGCACUGGCCCACAUUGAGUCCCGUCUCUGGUGUUGAUGGACACUGGGAGCUUAGUCCACUAUCGACGUCGACCCAUACCACGCAGCUAAGUCCCUCACCCACAACAGUCAUGACCGGAACAGGUAAAAAGGGGAUCCAAACACAACCUUUCUCCAGGCACCUCUGGUAAUGUUCCCUAAUCCACAACCGCGACCUGUGGACGGUGAGGAGGGCCAUGACGAAUGGCACCCACUUGUCAACAUCCAGAAGACUUGGAGACAGGACGAACUGACGGACAUUGCUAAAGAACUUCCAGAUCCUACAAAGGACGCUGGUGAUUUUACCACAUAGCUACAUAAGAUGGCCCGGCUGUACAAGCCAUCUGCAGCUGAGAUCGGGAGAGGGUGAAGCCUAUCAGACCUAACUGGCUAAGUUGUGUGAUUGCAUAAAAUAACAUUACACACCAUUGACCGAUUGGGCAGAUAUCUAUAGUUGCACACAGAAAGCUAAGGAGUCGUUGGAAGACUACAGACAUAGGCUGGAGACCUGUUACCGUAAGCAUAGCGGGCUCAAACCAAUGACUGAUGGCCACCACAAUGAUGACUACGACAGCCUCUUUAAAGCUUUUGCCAGCCCUUGGUAAACAGGUUAAAAUGAUUUGCAUUGGCUGGGUAACUACCAGUCUACAAGGGGUUAUUGAACAGUCCACAUGCUGAGAGCCAGCAAUUGUCACAAGAAGACAGAAACAAAACAGAGAAUAGAAAAAGGAGUGAAGUUACAAGCUGCACAGCUGGCUUUUUAUGAAGGACAAGGCCAGCAGCGGCAGGUUCAGGGAAAACCUCCAAAUUAUGGGGAAGGGGAAGAGGUAGAGGAUGAGGAGGGGGAGCCAGUGCUGACGGGUGGGUCCGACAGCAGCAACAACAGGACAGGAACUUAGUUUGUUAUAACUUUGAAAAAUAAGAACAUUUCGCUAGAAGGUGUCCAAACAUAAGUGAGCAGGGAUCAGUAAGGGGUGGUUGGAGAACCGGACCUCAUUACAACCCUCAUAUGGACUGACGCGAGGUAGAGACAGUUGACACCCUUAGCCAGCAUUUAAAGAUUUUUUUCAACCGCCGUGAGAAGCCAAUGGUUUGUCUCUUCGUCAAUGGUCAGUCAAUUGAAUUUCUAGUAGAUCCUGGAGCUGCAAUGUCUGUCAUAAAUUCAAAAUGUAUGUCCAAACCUCCCAUGUCAAAUCAAUCAGUUACCACUGUAGGAGCCUCAGAAGUCACUUUGAAAGAGUUGCUCACGAUGCCCCUACCUGUUAAAAUUGAUAACACAUAAACCAUCAAUUAAUUUUUUCAGCAUGUUGUCCUGUAAAUUUGGCAGGAAGAGAUCUUCUCUGUAAAUUGGGAAUUUAUCUUCUUUGUAAGGGAAAAGACCUCACUGUUGUACAGUCUCAGGAGACAUGUCAUCUCAUGGUGUUGUCCGACACGGUAUCAACAUGCGAUUGGUACUAUGCAUGGGACGUACAGGAUACUGAUGGCCCUACCGAUGAAAUGUUCUCAACUGCUUUCAGUUGUUGGAAACAGAAAGGCAGUUUUAUGUCACAAGACUGGCUUACAUUGCACCACGCAUUUCUCACCAUUGACAAGUGAUUUAGAUUCUGAUCAAAAUUGGCUGACAGGAACCAUAUCCCAAGAGGGCUUACUCUGCAGUGACAUGUAUAGUGGGCCCCAAUUUUGCUCUUUAAGUGUUAAAUUAACGAAAGAACAGGCUUUGUUGUAUGUAUUUAGUGACAGGGUGCCACAUAUAUAUA